rnacentral:rRNA from 1 species
GAUGAUCGCUAGCGAUAGGCCUAACACAUGCAAGUCGAGGGGCAGCAUAGAGUAGCAAUACUUUGAUGGCGACCGGCGCACGGGUGAGUAACACGUAUGCAACCUACCUACAUCAGGGGAAUAACCCGGAGAAAUUCGGACUAAUACCGCAUAAUACAGGGAUGCCGCAUGGCAAUAUUUGUUAAAGAUUUAUCGGAUGUAGAUGGGCAUGGGUUCCAUUAGCUGGUUGGUAAGGGAACGGCUUACCAAGGCAACGAUGGAUAGGGGAACUGAGAGGUUUGUCCCCCACACUGGAGCUGCGACACGGACCAGACUCCUACGGGAGGCAGCAGUGAGGAAUAUUGGUCAAUGGACGAGAGUCUGAACCAGCCAAAUCGCGUGAGGGAAGACUGCCCUGCGGGUUGUAAACUGCUUUUGUACAGGAAUACAAGACAUUACGUGUAAUGUAUUGCAGGUACUGUACGAAUAAGCAUCGGCUAACUCCGUGCCAGCCGCCGCAGUAA